rnacentral:lncRNA from 10 species
GUUCCCAGAGGUUGAGGGCUCAAUCCCCAAGAUUGCCUUCCAUGCCCCUCAGUCCUCCACCAGAUGCUAAUUGUCAGCUCCAGAUUGUUUUACCUGUGCUUCUUACUGACUGGCUAUAAACUGGGUCCCAUGACCCCUCCGUUGGUUUGAUUAAUUUGCUAGAGCAGCUCACAGAACUCGGGGAAACACUUGUAUUUACUGGUCUGUUAUAAAGGAUAUUA